rnacentral:tRNA from 1 species
GCGGGCGUAGCUCAAUGGUAGAGCACGAGCUUCCCAAGCUUGGGACGAGGGUUCGAUUCCCUUCGCCCGCU